UGUAAGGAGAGAGGGCUAGGCAAGGAAGAUAUUAAUAAAUAUUUCCAUCCUCAAGGAGCAUGGAGCCAACGGUGACACAUGUUUCAAUAUAUAAAACAGAAAACUCUAUCUUUGAGAGAGGAUAAAGAUAAGAAUUUAGAUGAAAGGGGCAUUUAUUUCUGACUUGAAGAAAAUUAGAUAUGGAAGAUUCACAAAGAGUUAUUUGAACCGGGAUACAGAGGAUAUGAAUAUACAAAGGUGAGCGAUGGGAAGAGGAAAUGGUGUUCCGGGUAAAGGGAACAGGGUAGGGGAAGGCACAGGAGAGGCAGUAGCAAGUUUAGGGGUCUGAACUCCAUGCAGUUAAGCUAGGAGGAGUAACAGAACCCUGGACCACCCUUUUAUUUCCAGAGGAGGAGGAGAAAGUAGACAGAGGCCAGUCAGAGAGAAGGGAGAUCCAGAGCUAUGUGUGGCAGCCGGCAGGAAUGCAGAAUUUCAAGACAGGCAACGGGAUGGAAUCCUGCAGAGGGUUGGAGGGUCUGGUAGACAUCUGCUGAGCAGAACUUCUUCCUCCUUCUCCAUGUUCUGCCCCCAUCAAUUCCCACACUCCAGCUCCCAGGGCGGGAGGCAGAGCCUGGACGGAUCACUCGGCAGGGGACUCACCCCUCACUUUCACGUUCACGGCCGUACUCAGCCACUUCCUUUCCCAGACACUCCGGGCCCUCAGUGGGCAGGAAACAAGUGUUAUGGGACACAACAUUGGCACCAGGAGGACGGUGGCAAGCAGAUCUCCUGCUGUUUCAUAUUCUUCUUGCUGGGGAAGGAAUCGAUUUGAUUGACUAAUGUAUCAAGGUGAGCCUUUUGCGGUCAAAUGAUUUGCCCAAGUUCAUAUGGCAGUAAAUGUUGGAGGCAAGGCUUUCCUGUAAUUUACCCAUUAUGUAACUCCACACUCCAAAGCCAAGUUCAAAUGCUGGCUGUACUUGAGCCUCAGGUUAUGUAAAUGAAUAAACGAUGAUCCAGGAAUGAAAUCUGACAUCUCUGACACUAACUUCAGAUCUCUAUACCUCUGACUGCUGCUUCAAAGCUGGUUCAUAUAGUCAUUUAAAUAUUGUGGAGACAGUCUA